AUGAUCUCGGAGGUCUUUUCCAAGCUGGGAAUGGGCCCAUGCGAGGAGCCCAGCCAUGGACCGGGACCUGGCACGCUGCAGGUUGGCUACGUUGGACAAGGGCUUCCCAGGUUCCCCAUCGUGCUGUGGCUCAUGCCCCCUCCCUGUUUUGCAGGUGCCGACAGACAGACGCGUGGGCCGUGGUGCUCCUGCCUCAGCGGCAGCCGCUGCAGCAAAGCUGUGCACGAGCUGCAGCAGCUGCUGUUACCGGGGCUGCCUGAGCACGUGGCCACUCUUGGCCCUGAGUUUUGGGAGGUGGCGUGGAGUGACCUGGCAGAGGUAGUGGAGCAGGGCGUCCUGUCCUGCUGCUGCUCCCCCAGUGGCAGGAGAGGCGAGGAACAGCAUCACCAGAGUCAGGUGUGUCUCCUGCGGCUCAGUCCCAGACCCCAUGCUUGCCCUGAUGCAUGCGAGGCCUGGGUGGACCCAUGGGAGGAGCCCAACCGUGGACCAGGACCUGGCACACUACGGGUCAGCCAGAUGGACAAAGGCUGUCUCCAGUGUCCAUCCUGCUGUGGCUCAUGCCCCUCCUGUUUUGCAGGUGCUGAGGGACAGACACGUGGGCCACGGUGCUCCUGCUCCAGCUGCAACCGCUGCAGCAAAGCUGAGCAGGAGCUACAGCAGCUGGUGUUGCCGGCUCUCCCAGAGCACGUGGCCACUCUGGGCCCUGAGUUCUGGGAUGCGGCCUGGCGGGACCUGGAAAAGCUGGUGGAGCAAGGAAGCCUAUCCUGCUGCAGCUCCCCCAGCUCCUCCACACAGCUGGGGACAGUUGUACGUGAGAGCAUCAUGCAGACAGGUGCCGCUGUACGUUGGUGGGAGCAGAAGGAACAGCAGCCUGUUGGAUUGUCCAAGCGUCCACAAGAAGUACCCCACAUGCAAAAGACAGUAAGACCAGCAGCAGCAGCACCUUCACGCCUGGCUACGGAAGAUGACUGCUGCAGUGCAGCCAGCCAGCGUCUGAGCUGUGCCGUCUGUGGCAGGAGACGUGCAGAGCAGGCAGGCAGGCAGAGCGUGAAUGGCUGGCACUCGUGGCAGCGGGUGGCCCCCACAGCCCACCGGACAAAUCGUCAGGGCUCCAAGCCAGGCAGGGGAGCCACAGAGCAGCCCCCGCAGACCUGCACCUGCACCUGCAUGCGUCCACCUGCGCAUGAGGGACUUCAUCAACCAAAGCAGGGACAACGUUGCUGGGACAACAAGGCCCAGGAGCCUUCUGCAUUGCCUGUGUCCUGCCGAAUGCAUUGUGAGUGCUGUAAGACAGCGGGAUCCAAGAGGGAUGCACAGAAGCCAGAGCAGCACAGCAUAAGAAAUACGAACCGGCACGUGCAGUCGCCCCCCAGGCAUGCUGAGGAAGAGAUGUGGGGCUCCAAAGCAGACAGAGGUGCCCAAAGGCAGCCUCACGGGAUCUGCUCCUGCUUGCUGCCACCAGCGCGUGGGACAACGGUGCGUAGCAUUGCCUAUGGCUCCAUUGAGUGGCUAUGUUGGCGGUAGGAGGUGGCCCCGCAGGUUCCCGCAUGGCUCUUGGCCACCCCGGCACGUCCCAAGUCCCAGCCUGAAUACAGGGCAGCAGCACAGGCAGCACAAACAGCUUCAGUGCUGCCCGUGGAGGACAACGGCUGCCACGCCAACGUCACCGCUGUGGGAAGUGCAGAGAGCCAACCCGGCCCGAUGCCACCUCCUUCCGCGAGCGCACCUCGAGGAAGCAGAGG
rnacentral:lncRNA from 7 species